rnacentral:rRNA from 1 species
GAUGAACGCUGGCGGCGUGCCUAAUACAUGCAAGUCGAGCGAACAGACGAGGAGCUUGCUCCUCUGACGUUAGCGGCGGACGGGUGAGUAACACGUGGAUAACCUACCUAUAAGACUGGGAUAACUUCGGGAAGCCGGAGCUAAUACCGGAUAAUAUAUUGAACCGCAUGGUUCAAUAGUGAAAGACGGUUUUGCUGUCAAUUUUAGAUGGAUCCGCGCCGCAUUAGCUAGUUGGUAAGGUAACGGCUUACCAAGGCAACGAUGCGUAGCCGACCUGAGAGGGUGAUCGGCCACACUGGAACUGAGACACGGUCCAGACUCCUACGGGAGGCAGCAGUAGGGAAUCUUCCGCAAUGGGCGAAAGCCUGACGGAGCAACGCCGCGUGAGUGAUGAAGGUCUUCGGAUCGUAAAACUCUGUUAUUAGGGAAGAACAAAUGUGUAAGUAACUAUGCACGUCUUGACGGUACCUAAUCAGAAAGCCACGGCUAACUACGUG